AUAAAAAAUUUACAUAUGAAAAGCAGUGGCUGAAUAUUUUCCUGCUUUUAAAAGGAAGGAAAAAAGAAAGAAUGGGGAUUAACAAGUAGAAAAUAGAGUUGGUGGAACAGCCUUCAGGCCUGGGUUUCCUAAAGGAAAAGAGUGGGAGAUCUGGGGGACAAAACCACCAGCACUUCUCUCUGCUCACAAGCGGCUUCUGGGCUGAAAACUAUUUCAUUACCACUACUGAACUUCUUGCAUACGACUUUCUUCUCUAGGAUGAAAACGAAAUGGGACCAGCCUGUUUGUGAAGGGGAACAUUUCCCUCUGCUAACAGCUUGACCGAGAUCCACCCAAUUUGCUUCCUAACAGCUGGAACUGCUCCCACCAGUGAGUAGCAGAGGAUAAAGAGGCCAAUUUCAAGAAGUGCAAUUUCAGAAGGGAAGGUGGGAGACUUCUGGUGGGAAACAAAUGUGCAGCGAUCAGCUUCUUCUGGAAGAAACAUAUCUAAAACGAGCAGAAGUGCUCUCCUGUGCAUCACGGGGACGUUGUCAUCUCCCAGGCUGUGAUGCAUGGUUAAAAAAAGAACAGAGGGCUCCUAAAAGUAGCCGAAAAGCACAUGAUCUGUGAAUACAGCCAGGAGAUAACUGAGUCAUCUCAAGUGCUACAGAGGGCCAGAAGAGUGGUAUUGGAGUGAAUACGAGUGCAGAGCAGGCUGUGAGCAACAGACCAGUGAUUUCCAUGGUCAAGUGGGCAGUACAACAGAUGUGUGCUUUUGCAUUGGUAUCAUUCAGACUUCAUGUUCUCAGAUUCUCUGAAUGGAGAGCGAGGAAAAUGAUGGAGGAAAAGGAUCACUGAGAAAACAAGUCGGAAUCACACCAGCCAGAAAGCCUCUGCUUUGCUAAGACUGUGGUAAUUGGCAAUGGGCAAUAACUAACCUCCUACCACGGCGAUAGCUGAUAGUGACAGUUGCAUGUUUAAAACAAUUACGUGUUUUGUACUCCACUCUGUUUCACAGAAGUCAUGUUUGCCAGUAUGGUUCAUGUUUCAUUUCGCUCUGAGGUAAUUGCCAGUCAGCAGCCAUUUGUGGUCUAAGAUGAUUGGAAGUUUUAAAGCAGAAUGUGGGCUUUUCCCACUUACCUACUUACCAAAACCAACAUCUCUUGGGGAAAAAAAAAUCAACACAAUAAACAACAAAACCAAACAGUAUCUCAGAGGAGUCUGGCACACAAAUGACAGUUAAAAUGUUGCUCCACUAUUGCAAUUGCUUCAGAAUGAUUACUAUCCUUCCAUUUCAUCCUCAGCUGAUUAGUCCCUAGGCUCAAUUGCUUUCAAAUGAAUAAAACACCAUCUAUUUGUGUUUUUGCUUCUGUGAGAAAAAAAAAAAAAAAAUCUACUUACUGUGAUAAAAGAGAUUGGUUUCAUCUGUGUGGACUUUUGUUCUGAGGAACGCAAUAAUUUUGCUGGUACUGAAAUUCCGAUUUGGAGUGUCUUUAAUUGGACUAUUGUCUACUCAGUUGAUUUGAGAAAUGGUUUGCAUAACUGACCCAAACACCUCUGGAAGCUUAAACUAAAUUUUGGAAAGCAUUACAGAAUAUUUUUCCUGUCUUUCUUCUCACUGGACAGAAAAAGCUCAACAGCCCCAAGCAUAGUCGAAUACACAAACCCACAGGAAUGCUAGUAGCUAUGCUUUUCCCAUCACCAGUUGUUCAGGAAAUGCUGUACUUCAAAGAUAUCAGGUCAUUGCCCUUUUUCAAUACCAGGCGUUCGGAUAGUUUUGAAAAAUUUUCAGUUGUCAUCUAAGAUGAAUCUUAUCACAUUUGCCCAUUAUUUCUAAUCAAACCUGAGACAUGACAGGCAUAAUUUGGAUCGAGAUAUUUGGCAUUUCCCAAACCUCUGCCAUAUGUCACUCAAAGCCAUUGAUGGGCACUUCAAAGAAAACCAGGGUGCAGUUUUGAGCAGUUCUCUACAAGUUUCUUUGUAGCAACAUUUCUUACUUGGAAGCCCUCUAGUUAAGCUUGCAUUUCUGAUAAAUUUCCAUGCAUUAUUAACCUAAUUGGACCCAACAUAUAUUCUAAGAUUCUCAUUAAUAUUUUUUAACAUGUUAUGGCAUCUUUACCCUUGAGCAGUCAACCAAGUUUUCAUCUUCACAAAAAUGGGUUCCUCAUAAUCGGACAAUCCAAUCAU